GGAUGCGAUCAUACCAGCACUAAAGCACCGGAUCCCAUCAAAACUCCGAAGUUAAGCGUGCUUGGGCGAGAGUAGUACUAGGAUGAGUGACCUCCUGGGAAGUCCUCGUGUUGCAUUCC
rnacentral:rRNA from 3 species